rnacentral:tRNA from 3 species
GGUUCCAUGGCUCAGUUGGUUAGCGCGGUAUGUUUCAUUCACAAUGCGAAGGUCGAGAGUUCGACCCUCUCUGGGACCA